AUUGAACGCUGGCGGCAUGCCUUACACAUGCAAGUCGAACGGUAACAGGUUAAGCUGACGAGUGGCGAACGGGUGAGUAAUGUAUCGGAACGUGCCCAGUCGUGGGGGAUAACUGCUCGAAAGAGCAGCUAAUACCGCAUACGACCUGAGGGUGAAAGCGGGGGAUCGGAAGACCUCGCGCGAUUGGAGCGGCCGAUAUCAGAUUAGGUAGUUGGUGAGGUAAAGGCUCACCAAGCCGACGAUCUGUAGCUGGUCUGAGAGGAAGACCAGCCACACUGGGACUGAGACACGGCCCAGACUCCUACGGGAGGCAGCAGUGGGGAAUUUUGGACAAUGGGCGCAAGCCUGAUCCAGCCAUGCCGCGUGCGGGAAGAAGGCCUUCGGGUUGUAAACCGCUUUUGUCAGGGAAGAAAAGGUUCUGGCUAAUACCUGGGACUCAUGACGGUACCUGAAGAAUAAGCACCGGCUAACUACGUG
rnacentral:rRNA from 1 species